GAGUUUGAUCCUGGCUCAGGAUGAACGCUAGCGGCAGGCCUAACACAUGCAAGUCGAGGGGUAACAUAGAAAAGCUUGCUUUUCUGAUGACGACCGGCGAACGGGUGCGUAACGCGUAUGCAACCUGCCCUAUACUGAAAGAUAGCCCGAAGAAAUUCGGAUUAAUAUUUCAUAACAAUUAUUAAUCGCAUGAUUUAUAAUUUAAAGGUUACGGUAUAGGAUGGGCAUGCGUCCCAUUAGCUUGAUGGUAAGGUAACGGCUUACCAUGGCAACGAUGGGUAGGGGGCCUGAGAGGGUGAUCCCCCACACUGGUACUGAGACACGGACCAGACUCCUACGGGAGGCAGCAGUGAGGAAUAUUGGUCAAUGGAGGCAACUCUGAACCAGCCAUGCCGCGUGCAGGAAGAAUGCCCUACGGGUUGUAAACUGCUUUUAUAUAGGAAUAAACCUUUCUACGUGUAGAAAGCUGAAGGUACUAUAAGAAUAAGGAUCGGCUAACUCCGUGCCAGCAGCCGCGGUAAUACGGAGGAUCCAAGCGUUAUCCGGAAUCAUUGGGUUUAAAGGGUCCGUAGGUGGACAAAUAAGUCAGAGGUGAAAUCCUGCAGCUCAACUGUAGAACUGCCUUUGAUACUGUUUGUCUUGAGUUAUUAUGAAGUGGUUAGAAUGUGUAGUGUAGCGGUGAAAUGCAUAGAUAUUACACAGAAUACCGAUUGCGAAGGCAGAUCACUAAUAAUUAACUGACACUGAGGGACGAAAGCGUGGGUAGCGAACAGGAUUAGAUACCCUGGUAGUCCACGCCGUAAACGAUGGUCACUAGCUGUUUGGACUUCGGUCUGAGUGGCUAAGCGAAAGUGAUAAGUGACCCACCUGGGGAGUACGUUCGCAAGAAUGAAACUCAAAGGAAUUGACGGGGGCCCGCACAAGCGGUGGAGCAUGUGGUUUAAUUCGAUGAUACGCGAGGAACCUUACCAGGGCUUAAAUGUUAGGUGACAGAUUUAGAAAUAGAUUUUUCUUCGGACACUUAACAAGGUGCUGCAUGGUUGUCGUCAGCUCGUGCCGUGAGGUGUCAGGUUAAGUCCUAUAACGAGCGCAACCCCUGUUGUUAGUUGCCAGCGAGUAAUGUCGGGAACUCUAGCAAGACUGCCAGUGCAAACUGUGAGGAAGGUGGGGAUGACGCCAAAUCAUCACGGCCCUUACGUCCUGGGCUACACACGUGCUACAAUGGUAGGUACAGAGAGCAGCCAAUGCGCGAGCAUGAGCAAAUCUAUAAAACCUAUCUCAGUUCGGAUCGGAGUCUGCAACUCGACUCCGUGAAGCUGGAAUCGCUAGUAAUCGGAUAUCAGCCAUGAUCCGGUGAAUACGUUCCCGGGCCUUGUACUCACCGCCCGUC
rnacentral:rRNA from 1 species